UUUUGAAGUUUUGGAUACGGUCAGACGGCAUGCGUCGCGGGCAUGCCUCACGUUCGCUGUUGACUGCGCUAUAACGCAUGCCCUUGACGAACAGAAAAAAGGACAGUGUAGACAAAGCUAAUUUCUGUUUCGCAGAAUUUC